UCUCUAUAAAUGAUACAAAGUUCCUUGCGUUUGCUCUUCUUCCUCAGUUUUGCGUCUCUUCCAUAUUCGAAAUCUGCAGCACUGAGCUACUCAUGAACGAUUCUCUUCUCCGCUGAAGCAAUGGCCUCUUCGGAUGUUAAUUGGGACAGGCUAGAUAAAAAGAAGUUCUAUGUCGUGGGAGCAGGACUCUUUACAGGUGUUACAGUAGCACUCUACCCGGUUUCUGUUGUGAAAACUAGGCUGCAGGUUGCUUCAAAGGAUACUCUGGAGAGAAGUGCAUUAUCUGUUGUGAAAGGAUUACUUAAAACGGAUGGCAUCCGUGGUUUGUAUAAAGGGUUUCUUACAGUUAUGACUGGUACAAUUCCUACCAGAAUCAUAUUUCUUACUGCCUUGGAGACCACAAAGGUGGCUUCCCUCAGGAUGCUGGAGCCAUUUAGACUAUCUGAUACCACCCAGACUGCCAUAUCAAAUGGACUAGCAGGCAUGACAUCAUCACUUUUGGCACAAGCUAUGUUUGUUCCAAUUGAUGUGGUUAGCCAAAAGUUGAUGGUGCAAGGAUACUCAGGCCAUACGCAAUAUACGGGGGGUUUGGAUGUUGCUCGUAAGGUGUUAAGGUCUGAUGGCAUUAGGGGAUUAUAUAGAGGAUUUGGUCUAUCUGUCAUGACUUAUGUACCAUCUAGUGCUGUGUGGUGGGCAAGCUAUGGCUCAAGUAAGCAUUACUUAUGGAGAAUCUUGGGGGAUAACUCCGGUGAGGAAGGCACUCCUAGUCUACUAAAGAUUAUGUUAGUUCAGGCUACUGGAGGGAUCAUUGCUGGUGCUACUGCGUCCUCUAUUACAACCCCGUUGGAUACAAUCAAAACACGGUUACAGGUGACUGGACUUGAAAAGAAAAUCUCUGUAAAACAAGUUGUUAAAGAUUUGAUUCUUGAAGAUGGUUGGAAAGGUUUAUAUAGAGGAUUAGGUCCAAGGUUUUUCAGCAUGUCAGCGUGGGGCACUUCAAUGAUUCUGGCUUAUGAAUAUCUGAAGCGCGUGUGUGCAAAGGAUGAAGAUGUGUAAACUGAUCUAGUUUGGAAUUGUCCAAGAAUUUUGUCUCAAAUACUUCGCUGGACAUUACUGGAAAAAUCACAAUGGCAAUUGAGCAAGAGUUUUGCUGCUGGACAUAACCAAAAUGGCAAGAAUAUGAGAUGUUUUUAUAUAUCGAGGUAAGAGUUCUACACAAAGUGAAGGUAGAAGGAAGACUACGACAUAUGUUCAUAGAAAAGAUCAACUGGGUAAAGUUGGAGAAGUUGCAUCAUUACCUCAUCUGAUCUUGAUGAGUCGUAGGAGGAUGUUAUUGAUGAGCAACAAAAUGUUGUUAAGUACACGAGAAUGUUGUUCAACAAGAACAUGAAGUAGUUGGAUUUCUUGGAUGUCCACAUGAUACAUCAUUAUUGACGAGUUAUGUUGAUCAUGUUGUAUGUGUGUGUGUGUAUAUAUAUAUAUAUAUAUAUAU